AUGGCUUCAACAACCUGCACCAGGUUUACCGACGAAUAUCAGCUGUAUGAAGAACUGGGAAAAGGAGCCUUUUCUGUGGUGAGAAGAUGUUUGAAAAUCUCUACUGGUCAGGAAUAUGCUGCCAAAAUCAUCAACACCAAAAAGCUGUCUGCCAGAGGUGAG